rnacentral:sRNA from 1 species
GCCAGGUGUGGUGAGUACACCUGUAAUCUCAGCUACUUGGGAGGCUGAGGCAGGAGGAUCCCUUGAGCCCAGGAGUUCAAGGCUGCAAUGAGUUGUGAUCACACCACUGCACUCCAGCCUGGGCAACAGAGCAAGACUCUGUCUCUA